GGAGUGGUCAAGUAGCCUGCUCCAGGGUGCUACAAGGUCAAGAGCAGCAGGAGGAAGAUGGAAGUGGGGUGUCAGCCUCUGACCGCCAGGCUCUUAUCUCUCCCAGGAGGUGCACGGCAGGACACAGGAAGCCAGCCCUGGAGCAGGACACACUGCCUGCUAAAAACAGCAUCACCCGUUGACUUCUAAGCCGCACUGCGUCCCUCUCCUGGCUCGCCUGGAUAGAGCAGAGCUGUCCGUGGGCACCAGGAUGGCCAUUCCAUACUCUGCUCCAGUGCUGGUCCAGAGAGCCUCUCCCUGACUUGUCUGCCUUCCGCGUCGCAGCACAGGACACCCCCCUCCCAUGGCCUCCCGUCAGAGUGGAGAUACAACUCUGUGGUUCUGAUGACUCCUGAAGUCCUGACUCCAAAAUCACCUCUACCACCUCUUUUGACAUUUCAUCUCCUGCCUCUUCCACCCCAACACCUUGGAGUUCCUGUCCUUAUCUAGUCUCCACCCUUGACCUUGACACUGCCGGGUGUAUUUCACUUGCUUAUCUUGCUCGUCACUACCAACACAAGCCCAGCUAACCCGGAGAAAUAGCAACACACACAUCUUUGGGGUGGGGUAGGGGGAGAGAGCUGUAUGCGGUGAUGACUAAUGCGCUCGUAAACUGCUGGACGCUUUUUAUACUACUGUGAGGAGCUGUUGCAAAGUCACUUGUGGUUUGAAUGACUUUAAGAUUCAGAGUACUAUUAAUUUCCGGUGAAUAAUUCCAAGAAACACGGUGCUUGGGGAAGAAUUAAGAUGUUUUCAAGAGAGUACAAAGAGCUGCCUGGUGUGACUCUAGAGGAAAGACCGCAGCGCUGAAGUCAUUUUCCUGUUUGGUUCGUCAGUGUGAUCGAAAUGAAGCCUGGGACUGGGUGCAGUGGUACACACCUUUGCUGCCAGCGCUUGGAGGGCAGAAGCUGGCAGACCAUUAUGAGUUCGAGGCCAGCCUGGCGCACAUAGAACACACACCUUAGUCUCUGGGCACAUGGAGGAGGUGAAGGCAGCUGUGGAUUGACAAGGAUGUUGGGGGCAUGCGCCACCCUCUACCCGUGAAAUCAGAAAGGAAAUGAGCAGGCAGCUGCAGGCUGUCUGCCUACCUCGACUCCCAC
rnacentral:lncRNA from 1 species